AUUGAACGCUGGCGGCAUGCCUUACACAUGCAAGUCGAACGGCAGCACGGACUUCGUUCUGGUUGCGAGUGGCGAACGGGUGAGUAAUGUAUCGGAACGUACCUUUCAGUGGGGGAUAACGUAUCGAAAGUUACGCUAAUACCGCAUAUUCUGUGAGCAGGAAAGCAGGGGAUCGAAAGACCUUGCGCUUAUUGAGCGGCCGAUAUCAGAUUAGCUAGUUGGUGGGGUAAAGGCCUACCAAGGCGACGAUCUGUAGCGGGUCUGAGAGGAUGAUCCGCCACACUGGAAGUGAGACACGGACCAGACGCCUACGGGAGGCAGCAGUGGGGAAGUUUGGACAAUGGGGGCAAACCUGAUCCAGCCAGGCCGCGUGAGAGAAGAAGGCCUUCGGGUUGUAAAGCUCUUUCGGCAGGGAAGAAAUAGCAUAGGCUAAUACCCUGAGUGGAUGACGGUACCGGAAAAAGAAGCACCGGCUAACUACGUG
rnacentral:rRNA from 1 species